AUCCUUUUGGUGUCAGUUGACUUGAUUGGGCGGGUCCAAUAUCAGCCGGAUUCCCCUUGAGAGACUUUGGGGAGGCCUGACGGUCUCACCCAAUGGCUUGGGGUUCUGCCGGCUGUGAGGGGUGGCGAUUAACUCACUUUAAGCAAUCAACUCUAAAGACAGCUCGAUUGGCUAGCAUUGCUGGCUGUAGACUGAACAAAUACAGACAACUCUCAACAACGGAUAUCUUGGCUCCCGUAACGAUGAAGAACGCAGCGAAAUGCGAUACGUAGUGUGAAUUGCAGAAUUCCGUGAACCAUCGAAUCUUUGAACGCAAAUUGCGCUCGAGGCUUCGGCCAAGAGCAUGUCUGCCUCAGCGUCGGCUACUACCCUCAACUAAGUUUCCUAUGAAAGACUAGGGGAUGCCAGUUGGAUAUGGCAGUCCGGUUUGCCUUUCAGGUUGCCGGUCAGCUGAAAUAUAUUCACGCUCUGGGGGCUGCUUUCCUUGAUAGGCUACUUUCAAGGGGAGGCGAGUUCCGAUUUGGUAGGUGACCUUUGCCGGUUACAUGCCUUCGUUGCUCGCUAAGCGUCCCAGUAGUCGUUGUGCAGGACGCCUUUUGGCUUUCGACCUGAGGUCAGGCAAGAACACCCGCUGAACUUAAGCAUAUCAAUAAGCGGAGGAAAAGAA
rnacentral:rRNA from 1 species